CCUACGGGAGGCUGCAGUGAGGAAUAUUGGUCAAUGGCCGAGAGUCUGAACCAGCCAAGUAGCGUGAAGGAUGACUGCCCUAUGGGUUGUAAACUUCUUUUAUAUGGGAAUAAAGUGUUCCACGUGUGGGGUUUUGUAUGUACCAUAUGAAUAAGGAUCGGCUAACUCCGUGCCAGCAGCCGCGGUAAUACGGAGGAUCCGAGCGUUAUCCGGAUUUAUUGGGUUUAAAGGGUGCGUAGGUGGGUUGUUAAGUCAGUUGUGAAAGUUUGAGGCUCAACCGUAAAAUUGCAGUUGAAACUGGCAGUCUUGAGUAGAGUAGAGGUAGGCGGAAUGCGUGGUGUAGCGGUGAAAUGCUUAGAUAUCACGAAGAACUCCGAUUGCGAAGGCAGCUUACUGGACUGCAACUGACGCUGAGGCCCGAAAGCGUGGGGAUCAAACAGGAUUAGAUACCCCGGUAGUC
rnacentral:rRNA from 1 species